GGCGUUUUUCGCCUCGGCGGAACUCGACCGCCGACUGCGGUGAUCGUGGACUACAUCGACGGCCACCGGCAGCAGUUCGGGGUCGAGCCGAUCUGUCGCGUCCUGCGCGUGCAGGGCGUGUCGAUCGCCCCG
rfam:Pseudonocardia sp. EC080619-01, complete genome.